rnacentral:sRNA from 1 species
CUGGUUGAUGACUCAGUGUCUGAGACAUCUCCAGGGUCCAGGGAAGGACCAAGGGCCGAUGAGAACCAGGCUGGGGAACCUUGCAGUACGGUCAGCUUUGGAGGGGUCUGGCCUCACAGAGACUUUCAGUUCUGCUCAGGGGUCCCAUGUUGCCCGUCUGAUCUGGCUUCUCUCGUGAUGGGCUCCAGAAGGAGAUGUCGCCCCCCCAUUCCACUACCUUUAGCCCUUGAAUUUCCACAUCUGUAAACCAACACUGUGUUCCAGGCCAUGGUUAUAGCACCUGAUAUGAGGGGUUUCUGGGCUCUGUGCCAUCCUGAUAAAGCAGGACUGGGCCAUGCCUCACUGCCUUCAGUCACAGCUUGCUCCUCUGGCCAGAGAAGGGAGGGGUAGGCCCACAGAAGUCUGGGGCCACACCAGCCUGUAGACGACAGGUUGUACAGUUUGACAAGUAAGAAGUGGGCCGGAGAAGCCAUUGUCGUCUCUUCAUGCCCCUAAAUAUUACCACAAACAAUGGCUUCCCUGACACCAGAUACUCAGCACCAGAUAAUCAUACAGUGCAGAGCUGCUAGGCUGGGUGGAACCUUGGACAAGCGGCUUGCACAGGGUGAAAGUUUUCCCAGAAGACCUCCCUUUUCCAGAAUGUACUAGGACUCAUUGUCUGCAUCUGCCAGUUGAACAUCUCACACGGGAGGCCUCCUCAGAACUCCUUGCUCAGCUGCGUCCCCCAUGUAGAAAUGACCCCUACCUGGGUGGCUUCUUCAGAAGAGGAGGGCAUUUUCAUUCAUGUCUCACUUGUAUAGAAACAGAGGCUCAGAAUGAGGGGUAAUGUUCUACCAGAGGUAAUGUUCCCAAACCUAUGGGGUUGGAAUCUGUGGGGGUGGGGCAGCUUUAAACACUCAUCUAAACAUCUGGAGGAUUUCUAACUUGUAAGCAGGGUUAAGCUCAGGCUGGAGAGAUGGCUCAGCCAUUAGGGGCACUGACUGCUCUUCUGGAGGUCCUGAGUCCAAUUUCCAGC